GACGAACGCUGGCGGCGUGCUUAACACAUGCAAGUCGAACGAAAAUACCAAGCUUGCUUGGUUGAUUAGUGGCGAACGGGUGAGUAACACGUGAGUAACCUGCCCCUUACUUUCCUGGAUAACUGCUCGAAAGGGUAGCUAAUACGGGAUAUUCUGACCAGCCUGCAUGGGUUGGUUUGGAAAGGUUGUUUUUCUGGUAAGGGAUGGGCUCGCGGCCUAUCAGCUUGUUGGUGGGGUGAUGGCCUACCAAGGCUUUGACGGGUAGCCGGCCUGAGAGAGUGGACGGUCACACGGGGACUGAGAUACGGACCAGACUCCUACGGGAGGCAGCAGUGGGGAAUAUUGCACAAUGGGCGCAAGCCUGAUGCAGCGACGCCGAGUGAGGGAUGAAGGCCUUCGGGUUGUAAACCUCUUUCGUCAGGGAACAAGGCACUGCUUUUUUGGUGGUGUUGAGGGUACCUGGAGAAGAAGCGCCGGCUAACUACGUG
rnacentral:rRNA from 1 species